UGGACCCUCCAGAAACUUUACAGUCUGUCACAGCUGAUGAAGAUGACGACGAAGAGACCACAUCUGCUGUGACAGAAGUGGACAAUGCUGGUAGAUCCACUGAGUACACACCUAGGGAUUUGCCCACAGAUGAGGGUCCUUCAACCUCAGCACACAAUCUAAGCAGGAUAACAAUUUGUCUCCAGGAAAUAAAGAAAUAAACUGCCUGGCAGACCAGUGCAAAAAAAAUAAUAAAAGUAAUUUUGACAGAUUCUGUCUCUGAAAAGUCGUCUGUCUCUGUUGGCCUGUAAAAUCUGUAGGUGUUCCUCUGGGCCAUCUUCCUCAAUACAAGGAGGGUGGCUCUUUCCUCUUAUAGUGGCAAUAUUGUGAAGCACAACACAAGCCACUAUAAUGUCGCAUGUAACCCGGAGCCCACGCAGACACUGAAACUGAGAUAUGAGGAUCCCUAUAGUCAUCUCCACCUUGGCCCAUGUUCGGCUGUGAGCCAGGUUAAACUGUAUCUGUGGUCCAGGCU